GUAUUAAACGCUCCGGCGCCAUAGGAUGGACCCGCGUCCCAUUAGCUAGUUGGUGAGAUAACAGCUCACCAAGGCCACGAUGGGUAACCGGUCUGAGAGGGCGAACGGUCACACUGGAACUGAGACACGGUCCAGACUCCUACGGGAGGCAGCAGUGGGGAAUAUUGCGCAAUGGGGGCAACCCUGACGCAGCAAUACCGCGUGAGUGAAGAAGGUUUUCGGAUCGUAAAACUCUGUUAUUGGGGAAGAAAAAAAGACGGUACCCAAGAAGAAAGUUCCGGCUAACUACGUGCCAGCAGCCGCGGUAAUACGUAGGGAACAAGCGUUGUCCGGAUUUACUGGGCGUAAAGGGCACGCAGGCGGUUUUUUAAGUCAGAUGUGAAAGGCCACAGCUCAACUGUGGACAUGCAUUUGAAACUGAAAGACUUGAGUAUUGGAGAGGCAAGUGGAAUUCCUAGUGUAGCGGUGAAAUGCGUAGAUAUUAGGAGGAACACCGGUGGCGAAGGCGGCUUGCCGGACAAAUACUGACG
rnacentral:rRNA from 1 species